GAUGAAGAACGCAUCGAAAUGCGAUAAGUAGUGUGAAUUGCAGAAUUCAGUGAAUCAUCGAAUCUUUGAACGCACAUUGCGCCCUUUGGUAUUCAUUAGGGCAUGCCUGUUCGAGCGUCAUCUAAACCCUCAAGCGCUGCUUGGUGUUGGGUGCCUGUCCCGCCCCCGCGCGUGGACUCACCUCAAAUCCAUUGGCGGCCCUCACGUCGGCUUCGAGCGCAGCAGAAACGCGAACUCGUGGCCCGGCGGAGCGGCUCCCAGAAGCUACUUUCACCAUUUUGACCUCGGAUCAGGUAGGGAUACCCGCUGAACUUAAGCAUAUCAUAAGCGGAGGA
rnacentral:misc_RNA from 1 species